rnacentral:rRNA from 1 species
UACGUAGGGAGCGAGCGUUGUCCGGAUUUACUGGGUGUAAAGGGUGCGUAGGCGGAUUUUCAAGUCAGUAGUGAAAUGCAGGGGCUUAACCCCUGAGCUGCUAUUGAAACUGAGAGUCUUGAGUGGAGUAGAGGCAGGCGGAAUUCCCGGUGUAGCGGUGAAAUGCGUAGAGAUCGGGAGGAACACCAGUGGCGAAGGCGGCCUGCUGGGCUUUAACUGACGCUGAGGCACGAAAGCAUGGGUAGCAA